rnacentral:misc_RNA from 1 species
UCCUAGCCCUGAUUGAACGGGUUUGUUUGAGCUCUUUUUACAGAUUUGCAAUGGGAUUUAAGCGAGGGGAAAAUCUGUAAAAAAGCGAGCCGAGAAAGCAGGUUCCUGG